rnacentral:rRNA from 1 species
GACGAACGCUGGCGGCGUGCUUAACACAUGCAAGUCGAACGGAAAGGCCCUGCUUUUGUGGGGUGCUCGAGUGGCGAACGGGUGAGUAACACGUGAGUAACCUGCCCUUGACUUUGGGAUAACUUCAGGAAACUGGGGCUAAUACCGGAUAGGAGCUCCUGCUGCAUGGUGGGGGUUGGAAAGUUUCGGCGGUUGGGGAUGGACUCGCGGCUUAUCAGCUUGUUGGUGGGGUAGUGGCUUACCAAGGCUUUGACGGGUAGCCGGCCUGAGAGGGUGACCGGCCACAUUGGGACUGAGAUACGGCCCAGACUCCAACGGGAGGCAGCAGUCGGGAGUAUUGCACAAUGGGCGGAAGCCUGAUGCAGCAACGCCGCGUGCGGGAUGACGGCCUUCGGGUUGUAAACCGCUUUCGCCUGUGACGAAGCGUGAGUGACGGUAAUGGGUAAAGAAGCACCGGCUAACUACGUG